rnacentral:rRNA from 1 species
GGAAUAUUGCACAAUGGAGGGAACUCUGAUGCAGCGACGCCGCGUGAGUGAAGAAGUAACUAGUGAGGUAAAGCUCUAUCAGUAGGGAAGAAAGAAGACGGUACCUAAGGAAGAAGCAGCGGCUAAAUACGUGCCAGCAGCCGCGGUAAUACGUAUGGUGCAAGCGUUAUCCGAAAUUACUGGGUGUAAAGGGAGCGUAGGUGGCAAUGCAAGUCUGAUGUGAAACCCCAAAGCUUAACUAUGGGAAUGCAUUGGAAACUGUCUAGCUAGAGUGUAGGAGAGGUAAGCGGAAUUCCUAGUGUAGCGGUGAAAUGCGUAGAUAUUAGGAGGAACAUCGGUGGCGAAGGCGGCUUACUGGACUAUAACAGACACUGAGGCUCGAAAGCGUGGGGAGCAAACA